rnacentral:tRNA from 1 species
GGGCUCCUAGCUCAGUUGGUUAGAGCGCCUGGUCGACAUCCAGGAGGUCGGGGGUUCGAGACCCUCGGAGCCCACCA